CGGAGGAAAAGAAACCAACCGGGAUUGCCUUAGUAACGGCGAGUGAAGCGGCAAAAGCUCAAAUUUGAAAUCUGGUACCUUCGGUGCCCGAGUUGUAAUUUGGAGAGGGCAACUUUGGGGCCGUUCCUUGUCUAUGUUCCUUGGAACAGGACGUCAUAGAGGGUGAGAAUCCCGUGUGGCGAGGAGUGCGGUUCUUUGUAAAGUGCCUUCGAAGAGUCGAGUUGUUUGGGAAUGCAGCUCUAAGUGGGUGGUAAAUUCCAUCUAAAGCUAAAUAUUGGCGAGAGACCGAUAGCGAACAAGUACAGUGAUGGAAAGAUGAAAAGAACUUUGAAAAGAGAGUGAAAAAGUACGUGAAAUUGUUGAAAGGGAAGGGCAUUUGAUCAGACAUGGUGUUUUGUGCCCUCUGCUCCUUGUGGGUAGGGGAAUCUCGCAUUUCACUGGGCCAGCAUCAGUUUUGGUGGCAGGAUAAAUCCAUAGGAAUGUAGCUUGCCUCGGUAAGUAUUAUAGCCUGUGGGAAUACUGCCAGCUGGGACUGAGGACUGCGACGUAAGUCAAGGAUGCUGGCAUAAUGGUUAUAUGCCGCCCGUC
rnacentral:rRNA from 1 species